rnacentral:rRNA from 1 species
CAGUCGCCGCGGGAACACGUAGGGAGCAAGCGUUGUUCGGAUUUACUGGGCGUAAAGGGCGCGUAGGCGGCGCGGUAAGUCACUUGUGAAAUCUCUGAGCUUAACUCAGAACGGCCAAGUGAUACUGCUGUGCUAGAGUGCGGAAGAGGCAACCGGAAUUCUUGGUGUAGCGGUGAAAUGCGUAGAUAUCAAGAGGAACACCUGAGGCGAAGGCGGGUUGCUGGGCCGACACUGACGCUGAUGCGCGAAAGCCAGGGGAGCAAACGGGAUUAGAUACCCCUGUAGUCCCUGUCUCUUAUAC